GACGAAGGAUGCAAGCGUUAUCCGGAUUCAUUGGUUUAAAGGGAGCGUAGGUGGCCUUAUAAGUCAGUGGUGAAAUCUCUCAGCUUAACUGAGAAAUUGCCAUUGAUACUGUAGGGCUUGAGUACAGAUGCCGUUGGCGGAAUAUGACAUGUAGUGGUGAAAUACAUAGAGAUGUCAUAGAACACCGAUUGCGAAGGCAGCUGACGAAACUGUAGCUGACACUGAGGCUCGAAAGUGCGGGGAUCGAA
rnacentral:rRNA from 1 species